UUUCAUCGUGUCCUUUCCAGUGACCCCAAUGGUGUCCAAAAUCAGAGUCUUUAACAUCAUGAUGCUCUUCGUGGUGUUUAUCUUUUGGAUGGUGUUCUGUAGCUGAUGGCAAAAGAUCCCAUAAACGACUUACAAAUGAUUUGGAUGGAUGGCCAAUUGAACCUUUGUUUUGAUCAUGUUGAACCUUUUCACUAUUACUUGUAACAUUAACUUGAUGGGUUGCUGUAACACUACACAGAGUGAUAAACCCCAGAGAAAACACUAUUAAUCGGUUUCCAAUCAUGACACAACCAUUCAAAUUAACUUCAACUGCACUGAUCAACUCAUGAAAGGUCUUUUGGAUCUUUUUUUUAUUGGUCGUUUCUUUUUACCAUCUUUGAUGAUACAAACAAUCCAUGCAAACUACUGCCACUCGAAGGUUAACAAUUAACCCAGCAAAUGGACCAUUUUGGUCUCAUUUCCAUAGAAAGAGUCUAAUUAAGAAGACCUGAGUACAAUAAACCUGAUAGUGCAUAAAUUCACUUUAAUGAACCUUCAUUAGCUUUUUGUUAUUCAAUCUUUUUUGUCAACUGUUGAACAAAUUUACAGGAAAAAAAUGUACCCUCGUUUAAUAGUUGCGAUUAAAUUGCUUUACCUUUUCUCUUUAUUCUUAAACCUGAUGUUCAUGUUAAUUGUUUAAAAAUUGAUCAUGAUUUCUUUUAUGCUGAUGCUGUUGACUUUGCUCAGUGUUUUAUUGUUUACUGAGAAGAGUUGGCCAAUUUGUCAGCUAACCAGUUUUCAAAGCUUCAUGAGUUCAUCGUAUUCCUACAGCGCAAUUAGACCAGAAGUGGAAUAACCCAAACUUGAUCAUCUCUAAGUGAAAAUGGUCAGCGAUCAACGUUUACAGUAAAUUAUUUAAAUUAUUUAAAUUAUUUAAAAUCUUUACACUACAUAGAUGCGUAAAUUAACAGUAAGUACAAGAAAUGUUUGAUUUUAUACCAAUUAUUUGCUAAUAUUACUUGAACAGCUGUAUUGAAAUGCUUGAGUAUCAGUAAUUUAUCUUUGAAGUUUCAAGAGGUAUUCUCUUGAUUUUCUCGUCUAUCUGAAAUUCUUGCCACCUCUCCAUCUUUAUUUAUCCUCUUACAUUAUCUUUCUGUACGCGUAAUUAUCAUUUUAUUUCCGUUUUCCGUUCUAGCCAAUGAUCAUGAGUAGAUUGUAGAAUUAAAUAAUUGUAAUGAACCAUCUUGAAAAAAGGCUGAUUUCACAUUUAUUUGAUAUCGCCAUGAAGAAAUAAAUCUCUUAAUUCUUAUAAUUGAGUACCC